GUCCCCGGCUUCGCCGCGCUGCAAACGCGGCAGAAGGCGUAAUAAGUCUCCGGGGACU
rnacentral:tRNA from 1 species